GACAGAGGGUGCGAACGUUGUUCGGAAUUACUGGGCGUAAAGCGCAUGUAGGCGGCAGCGCAAGUCGGGCGUGAAAUCCCCACGGCUCAACCGUGGAAGUGCACUCGAAACUGCGCAGCUAGAGUCCUGGAGAGGAAGGUGGAAUGCUUGGGUGUAGAGGUGAAAUUCGUAGAUAUCAAGCGGAACACCGGUGGCGAAGGCGGCCUU
rnacentral:rRNA from 1 species